AGCAGCCGCGGUAAUUCCAGCUCCAAUAGCGUAUAUUAAAGUUGUUGCAGUUAAAAAGCUCGUAGUUGAAUUUCGGGAUUAGUACGUUGGUCGUGCCUUAGGUACGUACUGGUGUUACUGGUUCCUACCUUCUGACGAACCAUCAUGUCAUUAAUUUGGUGUGGCGGGGAAUCAGGACUGUUACUUUGAAAAAUUAGAGUGUUUAAAGCAGGCUCGCGCUUGAAUACAUUAGCAUGGAAUAAUGAAAUAGGACGUUGACCCUAUUUUGUUGGUUUCUAGGAUUGACGUAAUGAUUAAUAGGGAUAGUUGGGGGCAUUAGUAUUCAAUUGUCAGAGGUGAAAUUCUUGGAUUUAUUGAAGACUAACUACUGCGAAAGCAUUUGCCAAGGAUGUUUUCAUUAAUCAAGAACGAAAGUUAGGGGAUCGAAGACGAUCAGAUACCGUCGUAGUCUUAACCAUAAACUAU
rnacentral:rRNA from 1 species